GUCUACAGCCAUGCCACCCUGAAUAAGCCCGAUGUCUGAUCUUGGAAGCUAAGCAGGGUCGGGCCUGGUUAGUACUUGGAUGGGAGACCACCUAGGAAGACCAGGUGCUGUAGGCA
rnacentral:rRNA from 1 species